UGAGAUGCACAACUCCCCCCCUCUCCCCAUAUGCUCCCCUCACUGCCUGAGGCUGGAGCCAGCUGGAGUUGGUUGCAAAGCCCUGACCACAGGACCAAUGUUCAGGACCAGGGGCCUACAGCUGAGCCCUUGGAUCUGGCGGCUGGGACCCUGGGUGGUAGUGGAGCCCCCAGAAACCUGGAACCUAGGCAGCAGCAGAGCCCUCAAGUGCAGGCUGGCAGCUGGGAUCCCAGUUUUUGGGGUAGAGGCUGUGUCUAACCAUGAGUUCAACUGUGGUAGUGGCAUCAGUCCCAAGUAAGGUAUUUGAUAUGUUGGAUCCUUAAAGAAGACAGGAGACUUCCGGGAAGGCUCACAAAGGUACUGAUCUAUUUUCAUGGUUGAGAGACAGCUCGGAGGCAGCUGUUAUAAC